GACGUAGGGUGCGAGCGUUGUCCGGAUUUAUUGGGCGUAAAGAGCUCGUAGGCGGCUCGUCGCGUCGACCGUGAAAACCGCGGCUUAACUGCGGGCUUGCGGUUGAUACGGGCGGGCUAGAGUUCGGUAGGGGAGACUGGAAUUCCUGGUGUAGCGGUGAAUGCGUAGAUAUCAGGAGGAACACCGGUGGUGUAGACGGCUUCUGGACCGUAACUGACGCUGAGACACGAAAGCGUGGGUAGCAAACAGG
rnacentral:rRNA from 1 species